rnacentral:tRNA from 1 species
GCGGGCGUGGUGGAACUGGUAGACACGCGAGAUUUAGGUUCUCGUGCCUAACGGCGUGGGGGUUCAAGUCCCUCCGCCCGCACCA